GGGCGGAAGGCAUCACUUUGUCCGGACUCUAAUUCAAAUUGUAUUCAUCCGAUCUUCACCAAACUUGGUCAGCAGUUGCAUCUAGUUGAUAUCUAGGCCAAGUUCGAAUAUGGGUCAUGCCGGGUCAAAAACUAGGUCAUAGGGUCAAUAAGUGCAUUUUCAAAGGGGCCACUUUGUCCGGACUCUAUUUCAAAUUGUAUUCAUCCGAUCUUCACCAAACUUGGUCAGCAGUUGCAUCUAGUUGAUAUAUAGGCCAAGUUCGAAUAUGGGUCAUGCCGGGUCAAAAACUAGGUCAUAGGGUCAAUUAGUGCAUUUUCAACGGCGCCACUUUGUCCGGACUCUUAUUCAAAUUGUAUUCAUCCGAUCUUCACCAAACUUGGUCAGUAGUUGCAUCUAGUUGAUAUCUAGGUCAAGUUCGAAUAUGGGUCAUGUCGGGUCAAGAACUAGGUCAUAGGGUCAAUUAGUGCAUUUUCAACGGCGCCACUUUGUCCGGACUCUAAUUCAAAUUGUA